GACGAAAGUCGGGACUAGUGAUCCGGCGGUGGCUUGUGGAAGCGCCGUCGCUCAACGGAUAAAAGGUACCCCGGGGAUAACAGGCUGAUCUUCCCCAAGAGUCCAUAUCGACGGGAUGGUUUGGCACCUCGAUGUCGGCUCGUCGCAUCCUGGGGCUGGAGUCGGUCCCAAGGGUUGGGCUGUUCGCCCAUUAAAGCGGUACGCGAGCUGGGUUUAGAACGUCGUGAGACAGUUCGGUCCCUAUCCGCUGUGCGCGUAGGAGUCUUGAGAAGGGCUGUCCCUAGUACGAGAGGACCGGGACGGACGAACCUCUGGUGUGCCAGUUGUUCUGCCAAGGGCAUGGCUGGUUGGCUACGUUCGGGAGGGAUAACCGCUGAAAGCAUCUAAGCGGGAAGCCUGCUUCGAGAUGAGGACUCCCACCUCCUAGAGAGGGUAAGGCUCCCAGUAGACGACUGGGUUGAUAGGCCAGAUAUGGAAGCCGGGUAACCGGUGGAGUUGACUGGUACUAAUAGGCCGAGGGCUUGUCCUCAGUUG
rnacentral:rRNA from 1 species